GUGCCCAAUGAUUAAGGAAUGACGCGUUAUUGCGAGGACUAAUCUGGCAGGCUAUUCUUUCCACUUGCCCCACCUUAACUGCCACCACUUAUCAAUUUCUUUUGCCCCCUUUCUCUUUCUUUAUCUUUUUUUUCCUCUUUUCCUCUCUUUUUCUCUUCACUACUCUCUGCUCCUCUAAUAUAACUUUUAUGGAUAGCUGGCCAGUGUCCUAUGAGCGUGAUUGAAAAAUGAGGGCAG